rnacentral:rRNA from 1 species
ACGGAAGGCAGCAGUGGUGAAUAUUGCACAAUGGGGGAAACCCUGAUGCAGCGACGCCGCGUGAGCGAUGAAGUAUUUCGGUAUGUAAAGCUCUAUCAGCAGGGAAUAUAAUGACGGUACCUAACUAAGAAGCACAGGCUAAAUACGUGACAGCAGCCGCGGUAAUACGUAUGGCGCAAGCAUUAUCCGGAUGUACUGGGUGUAAAGGGAGCGUAGGUGGUCUGGCAAGCCAGAAGUGAAAACCCGGGGCUCAACCCCGUGGAUUGCUUUUGGAACUGUUGGACUAGAGUGCAGGAGGGGUGAGUGGAAUUCCCAGGGUAGCGGUGAAAUGCGUAGAUAUUGGGAGGAACACCAGUGGCGAAGGCGGCUCACUGGACUGUAACUGACACUGAGGCUCGAAAGCGUGGGGAGCAAACAGGAUUAGAUACCCUGGUA